CCCUCUCAUCGCCUGGGUGGACAUGGAGACCAGCCCGAGGACACUUACCAUUUUCUGUGGAUGGGUCUGUGCACACGUGGGGCAACCCGGUCCCGAUCCCCUGUAAAGAGACAGAGGAAGGUAGGACCAGACCAAAGAGGUCCCCAUGGGCUAAAUUCCUUCUUUGGGUCCCAGAUACCACCAGGGAUCGCCAAAGCCGUGUGUUAUCAAGUAGAGUAACAGCUUGGUGAACCACGACUUCACAGCCUGUUAGAUACAUUCACUCUGUGCGUCCCAGAUACCAUCAGACCUACAUACACACCUACAUACACACCUCUUCUCAAAGCCAUUUGUUAUCAAAUACGGUGACAGCUUGGAGAACUUCAACUUCUGCGUGUGCGCCCGUCAGACGUGCAUGAAUUGUAACUUAAAAGAAAUGUUGCCAUCCAGGGCUUUGGUCAGACCAGACUUAGCGUUUGGGACCCGUGAGAUGGCUUAGGAGAGUGCUCCUGCUGCCAAGCCUGGCGACCUGAGUUUGAUUCCAGGACGCACAUGGUGGAAGGCGAGAACUCCCUCACAUCUCACCUGCCUGUUCCGAAACAGCCCAUAGCAUGGGAGAAAAUCCAGCCAUACUUCAGGCCAGGGUUAAAAUUCAGAAUUUACAUAGAACUGCAAAAGUUAAAUACCGAGGGGACAAAGCUGCCAGUCAACAGGCUGGGCUGGUGAAGGGAACAGACUUUGGCUCCAUCCUGGGGCUGCGCUUAGCAGAAGAUGGGGGAUGUGGACACCUGCCCCUGCCUCCGCGCUGCCAUGGCAACCACUCCAGAGCACAUCCCUAAAACCACCUGUGACUCUGGGGCCCGCCCCUUGGCCGACCUUCUCUGUCCCUCCCUGUGACUACUUUGGAUUCCUGUCUUGGGGGUCUGCCCCUAGAGGAUCGCAAUGGAGGCAAGUUCUUCCCAGCUGACAGUCAACACCCACCAAGGGGAUCCUCCCCUUCCCCCACAGUCCCUCGGCCUCGUGCCAUGGACCGACAGUCCACAGCUGGCAACAGCUCAGAGACCUGGUGGGCUGGGGCGGGCACUGGGAUGCAGUGGUGUGCUGGGCCCCUGCUAGGAAACAACUCAACAAAAAGAAAAACCCGUGGAUGCAGAGAAAGAAGACUGGCCGCCAUAGCCAAGCUAGAAAGCGCAACAAAGCCGGCAACUGAGGUGUGGAAGCUGCAGGAAAGAGGGCUCCCAGCUGCUCAGGAGGCUGAGCACGCAGACCAUGUGAGAACAUGAGGGUUGUCAAGACGUCCAGGCCAGUCUAGACUAAGGAGUAACUCUGACUCAAAACACAAAAAUAAAAUAAAAUGAAAUAAAAAUAAAAUGAAAUG
rnacentral:lncRNA from 1 species